rnacentral:rRNA from 1 species
CAGUAGCCACGGUAAUACGAAGGGUGCAAGCGUUAAUCGGAAUUACUGAGCGUAAAGCGUGCGUAGGCGGUGAGUUAAGUCUGCUGUGAAAUCCCCGGGCUCAACCUGGGAAUGGCAGUGGAUACUGGCUCGCUAGAGUGUGUCAGAGGAUGGUGGAAUUCCCGGUGUAGCAGUGAAAUGCGUAGAGAUCGGAAGGAACAUCUGUGGCGAAGGCGACUAUCUGGGCCAACACUGACACUGAGGCACGAAAGCGUGGGGAGCAAACAGGAUUAGAUACCCCCGUAGUCCCUGUCUCUUAUAC